rnacentral:rRNA from 1 species
AAAAGCGGAGGAAAAGAAACCAACAGGGAUUGCCUCAGUAACGGCGAGUGAAGCGGCAAAAGCUCAAAUUUGAAAUCCCCCGGGAAUUGUAAUUUGAAGAGAUUUGGGUCCGGCCGGCAGGGGUUAAGUCCACUGGAAAGUGGCGCCACAGAGGGUGACAGCCCCGUGAGCCCCUUUAACGCCUUCAUCCCAGAUCUCCAAGAGUCGAGUUGUUUGGGAAUGCAGCUCUAAGUGGGUGGUAAAUUCCAUCUAAAGCUAAAUACCGGCGAGAGACCGAUAGCGAACAAGUACAGUGAUGGAAAGAUGAAAAGCACUUUGAAAAGAGAGUGAAAAAGUACGUGAAAUUGUUGAAAGGGAAGGGCUUGCAAGCAGACACUUAACUGGGCCAGCAUCGGGGCGGCGGGGAGCAAAACCACCGGGGAAUGUACCUUUCGAGGAUUAUAACCCCGGCCCUUACUCCCAUACUGCCCCGAGGCCUGCAAUCUAAGGAUGCUGGCGUAAUGGUUGCAAGUCGCCCGUCUUGAA